AAUAAACAAGAGUGCACUUUAUUGUGGCUCAAAAUUUACUUAAUUUCACCCUGAACACUUGGUUGUGUGACUUGUUCAUUGCAGCCAGGUAUGUGUAACACAAUUCUUUCUUUAUUGUGUUACAUUAUCCCCCUCAAUCAUUUAUUUUUUAAACCCAAGUUGAAUUAUAAGAAUGUAAAUAUUUUAAUAAUAAAAAA
rnacentral:misc_RNA from 1 species